rnacentral:rRNA from 1 species
CAGUAAAACUGCGAAUGGCUCAUUACAACAGUUAUUGUUUAUUUGAUACAUUAAAUGGAUAACUGUAGAAAAACUAGAGCUAAUACAUGCUUAAACCGUAAGGUUGUAUUUAUUAGAUAUUCCGGAUUGGUGAAUCAUAAUAACUUCGCAAAUCUCGUUUAUGACGAGAUAAAUCAUCCAAGUUUCUGCCCUAUCAUGCUUUCGAUGGUAGUGUAUUGGACUACUUUGGCUAACACGGUUAACAGGGAAUUAGGGUUCGAUUCUGGAGAAGGAGCCUGAGAAACGGCUACUACAUCUACGGAAGGCAGCAGGCGCGUAAAUUACCCAAUCCUGACUCAGGGAGGUGGUGACAAGAUAUAACAACGCAAUUUCAUUGUGAUUGUAGUGAGGGUAUUCCAAACCGAACCACUAGUACGAUUAGAGGGCAAGUCUGGUGCCAGCAGCCGCGGUAAUUCCAG